rnacentral:tRNA from 1 species
GCUAGCGUGGCAGAGCCUGGCAAAUGCGGAAGGCCUAAGCCCUUCACCCAGAGGUUCAAAUCCUCUCCCUAGCU